UACGUAGGUGGCAAGCGUUGUCCGGAUUUACUGGGCGUAAAGAGCGCGCAGGCGGUUGGAUAAGUCGAAUGUGAAAGCCCCCGGCUUAACUGGGGAGGGUCAUUCGAUACUGUUCAACUUGAAGGCAGGGAGAGGGCAGCAGAAUUCCCGGUGUAGUGGUGAAAUGCGUAGAUAUCUGGAGGAACACCGGUGGCGAAGGCGGCAUCCUGGACCGGUAUUGGACACUGAGGCGCGAAAGCCAGGGGAGCAAACGGG
rnacentral:rRNA from 1 species